AAAUUUUGUUUAAUGAACAUGGUAAUUAGGGGGUGUGGCCACAGAAAGUGACGUGGGCAAAAUCGCUGUGCUACCUGCGAAACUUUUUUUGUCCCUCUUUUUACUUCCAAAAUGUUGGGAUGUAGGCGCGCGCGCACACACGUGAUCUGUACUACAACUACAAGGCAGGGCGGAUAGAGCAGCGCAACAACUCCCGCAGGGCUCAGCAGUACACCCUGUCCUGGACUCACCUGCACCGGAAGCUCAGAAGAAAGCGGCGCUGCUUCCCAGGCAACAGAGAGAGAGAAGCGCCGAGACUCGCAGCCAAACCAAUGGAACCAACUGGCCAAUCAAAGCUAGGGACAUACCUGCUGAUGUAACUCUAUUCGCCAGUCAAAAAAAGAUGGGCGGGUCGUGUCGCUGUUAGGUUGAGCAACAGGUUACCAUGGUGAUCCUUGGCUUAGUAGGCGGGGCACUGCUCGGCCAUCCAAAGUAGCGUUAAAACCGGUGCGAACUUUAUCCCCGCCCCUGCCGAGAUCACUUGUCCCAGCCGUUUCUUAGGUUACCUAAUAAUUGGUCCCAGACCACCCAGUCUGCAUUGUGGUUAUGUAAUAAUACGGAUAAUGAUCGCCUACAACAACCAAUUAUCCAACAGCA